AUGGCAGACGAUCCUAAUCAAAACUUCGGGCCGUUUUCGCAGCCGUUCUGCAGCCAGAAUGUGGUUUCAUUUCAGACGAGCGCGACGCCUAGCGGGUCGGGAGGCAGCAUGCCGGUGUACCUAGACUGCUCCAGCAGCAUGGGGUCUAACAUGGGGAUGAUGAACACCACGCCUUCAGUAGCUGUCUCCACAAGUUCAUCCAACAUGGUUGCUGAAUCUGCACAGAACCUCAAAUAUGGAGGACCCCUAGCUGAAAGCUGGUCGCAUCUCGAGAUCCAAGUGCUGAAAGAUUGCCUAGAUAGAUAUGUGAAUGAACAUGGUAUCAUGAAGUACAUAAAGAUAGCCGCUUCCCUACCAACCAAGACGGUGAGGGAUGUUGCGAUGAGAUGCCAAUGGAUGGGGAACAAACAAACUACAAGACGGCGGAGGCCUGCAGAACAUCAUAGCAGAAAAAUGAAAGAUAGAAAGGAUAAAAUGGUGGGGCCUUCAUCCUGGGGUACCACUCAUCCUGUUCAGACGGAUACAGGAGUCUCUUCCUUUGUGCCGCAUCAUGCCAUUCAAAACAGUCAAUAUCUAUCUGGAGCCUCGGAGAUGGAUCGUAUAGUACAGCUUGUACUGGAAGAAAAUAAUCGUCUUCUUACUCAGAUAGACACAAAUAUUCAAACAUUUCAGGCUCAAAAUAACACCGAUCUCUUCAAUCGCGUGAGAAGGAACAUUGAUGGCCUUUUGAAAAUCAUGAGCCAAAUGCCUGGAAAAAUGAGCGAGAUGCCUCAGUUGGGAGUUGCGGUGAAUGAAAACCUUGCUAGUUACUUGCUCCCAGAUCUUACAAUGGCACAAGUUCUUGGAAAUAGCCAUUUGAAGGAGGAGCCAAGAGGAUGGUGA
rnacentral:rRNA from 1 species